UCUUCCAGACAGUGUCUGUAGUCACCACGUCACCAAACUUCAGGAACUUCAGAUCCAUUUCUCUGGACCUCUUUCUGGGUUGACCAGGACUUUAAAAACACAGGGAGUUAUGUGGAGGAUUUUCCUGAUGGUCAGUCUGCUCUGCUGGAGCGCUGAUGGCAGAGUGACCUGCA